rnacentral:rRNA from 1 species
UACAUGGGGUGCAAACGUUGCUCGGAAUUAUUGGGCGUAAAGCGCACGUAGGCGGUUUGUUAAGUCGGAUGUGAAAUCCCUCGGCUCAACUGAGGAAGUGCAUCCGAAACUGGCAGGCUUGAGUACUAAAGAGGGUCGCGGAAUUCCCGGUGUAGAGGUGAAAUUCGUAGAUAUCGGGAGGAACACCAGUGGCGAAGGCGGCGACCUGGGUAGAUACUGACGCUGAGGUGCGAAAGCGUGGGGAGCAAACAGG